rnacentral:rRNA from 1 species
UGGCGGACGGGUGAGUAACGCGUGAGAAUCUGCCUUCAGGACGGAGACAACAGUUGGAAACGACUGCUAAGCCCCGACGAACCGAAAGGGAAAAUAUUUAUAGCCUGAAGAUGAGCUCGCGUCCGAUUAGCUAGUUGGCGGAGUAAAAGCCCACCAAGGCGACGAUCGGUAGCUGGUCUGAGAGGACGAUCAGCCACACUGGGACUGAGACACGGCCCAG